rnacentral:rRNA from 1 species
UACGUAGGGUGCAAGCGUUAAUCGGAAUUACUGGGCGUAAAGCGUGCGCAGGCGGUGAUGUAAGACAGAUGUGAAAUCCCCGGGCUCAACCUGGGAACUGCAUUUGUGACUGCAUCGCUGGAGUGCGGCAGAGGGGGAUGGAAUUCCGCGUGUAGCAGUGAAAUGCGUAGAUAUGCGGAGGAACACCGAUGGCGAAGGCAAUCCCCUGGGCCUGCACUGACGCUCAUGCACGAAAGCGGUGGGAGCAAACAGG